GUGUUCAUCUCAACAGCGCAUUUACUAAGACUGAAAUAGUACAGAGAAGAUAGCAUGGCCCCUGCACAGGGAAGACACACAAAUUAGUGAAGCAUUCCAUAUUUUU